CGAUACUGACGUGCAAAUCGU
rnacentral:siRNA from 1 species